GAGUUUGAUUCAUGGCUCAGGACGAACGCUGGCGGCGUGCCUAAUACAUGCAAGUAGAACGCUGAAGAGUGGAGCUUGCUCUUCUUGGAUGAGUUGCGAACGGGUGAGUAACGCGUAGGUAACCUGCCUUGUAGCGGGGGAUAACUAUUGGAAACGAUAGCUAAUACCGCAUAACAAUGGAUGACACAUGUCAUUUAUUUGAAAGGGGCAAUUGCUCCACUACAAGAUGGACCUGCGUUGUAUUAGCUAGUAGGUGAGGUAACGGCUCACCUAGGCGACGAUACAUAGCCGACCUGAGAGGGUGAUCGGCCACACUGGGACUGAGACACGGCCCAGACUCCUACGGGAGGCAGCAGUAGGGAAUCUUCGGCAAUGGGGGCAACCCUGACCGAGCAACGCCGCGUGAGUGAAGAAGGUUUUCGGAUCGUAAAGCUCUGUUGUAAGUCAAGAACGAGUGUGAGAGUGGAAAGUUCACACUGUGACGGUAGCUUACCAGAAAGGGACGGCUAACUACGUGCCAGCAGCCGCGGUAAUACGUAGGUCCCGAGCGUUGUCCGGAUUUAUUGGGCGUAAAGCGAGCGCAGGCGGUUUGAUAAGUCUGAAGUUAAAGGCUGUGGCUCAACCAUAGUUCGCUUUGGAAACUGUCAAACUUGAGUGCAGAAGGGGAGAGUGGAAUUCCAUGUGUAGCGGUGAAAUGCGUAGAUAUAUGGAGGAACACCGGUGGCGAAAGCGGCUCUCUGGUCUGUAACUGACGCUGAGGCUCGAAAGCGUGGGGAGCGAACAGGAUUAGAUACCCUGGUAGUCCACGCCGUAAACGAUGAGUGCUAGGUGUUGGAUCCUUUCCGGGAUUCAGUGCCGCAGCUAACGCAUUAAGCACUCCGCCUGGGGAGUACGACCGCAAGGUUGAAACUCAAAGGAAUUGACGGGGGCCCGCACAAGCGGUGGAGCAUGUGGUUUAAUUCGAAGCAACGCGAAGAACCUUACCAGGUCUUGACAUCCCGAUGCUAUUUCUAGAGAUAGAAAGUUACUUCGGUACAUCGGUGACAGGUGGUGCAUGGUUGUCGUCAGCUCGUGUCGUGAGAUGUUGGGUUAAGUCCCGCAACGAGCGCAACCCCUAUUGUUAGUUGCCAUCAUUCAGUUGGGCACUCUAGCGAGACUGCCGGUAAUAAACCGGAGGAAGGUGGGGAUGACGUCAAAUCAUCAUGCCCCUUAUGACCUGGGCUACACACGUGCUACAAUGGUUGGUACAACGAGUUGCGAGUCGGUGACGGCAAGCUAAUCUCUUAAAGCCAAUCUCAGUUCGGAUUGUAGGCUGCAACUCGCCUACAUGAAGUCGGAAUCGCUAGUAAUCGCGGAUCAGCACGCCGCGGUGAAUACGUUCCCGGGCCUUGUACACACCGCCCGUC
rnacentral:rRNA from 1 species